GACGAACGCUGGCGGCGUGCUUAACACAUGCAAGUCGAACGGAGAGGCGAACGGGUGAGUAAAACGUGGGUGAUCUGCCUUGCAGUUCGGGAUAAGCUUGGGAAACUGGGUCUAAUACCGGCUAGGGCAAGGUGAGCUCGCGGCCUAUAAGCUUGUUGGGGGGGUAAUGGCCUACCCAGGCGUGGACGGGUAGCCGGCCUGAGAGGGUGUACGGCCGCAUUGGGACUGAGUUACGGCCCAGGUUCCUACGGGAGGCAGCAGUGGGGAAUCUUGCACAAUGGGCGGAAGCCGUAUGCAGCAACGCCGCGUGUGGGAUGAAGGCCUUCGGGGUGUAAACUGCUUUCGAGAGGGACCCGGUACCUGGAUAAGAAGCACCGGCUAACUACGUGCCAGCAGCCGCGGUAAUUCC
rnacentral:rRNA from 1 species